rnacentral:lncRNA from 1 species
UGUUGAGAUUAGAAUAAGAUCGACGGUUGAUCUCGAUUUUUAGAGAAUGUUGACCGAUUGAUUUUCUACACUUAGGUUGAUAAUUCAUGCAAAGGUGAGUGUUUUUUCUUCUUCUUCAACCUAUGUUCGUCCACUGCUGGACAUGGGCCUCUUCCAUUUGCUUCCAUCGAUUUCUACUCUUGGCAAUUCUUAUCCACUGCUUGCCCGCGACUUGUUUGAUAUCAUCUGUCCACCUCUUCUGCUGUCUGCCUCUACUCCUCGUUGUUCUCUCUUGGUCUCCAGUUUGUUAAUCUCUGUGUCCAUUUUUCUGGAUUAUCUCUGCCAACAUGCCCGGCCCUUUGUCACUUAGCCUUAGAGCCAUCCUGACGUGUAUACGCUCCGAGCUUCGCUGGUAUCGCCACCUACCUAACGGAUUACUAGUAUAAAUUUCGCUGGAAAGAACGGAUUACUAGUAGGUAUAAAUUUCGCUGGAAAGAAAAAAGUGUUGCCCAUCCUCUGUGAGUUUCGCUGGUAUGGCUGGUAUCGCCAUCUAACGGAUGACUAGUGUUCCUGUUUUGGUCGUAAAUUUAAAGAGGAUAGGAGAAAAGCAAAUAAUAAUAAUAAUUGUUUCAAACUUAUUAUUUAAUUCUUCUCGUGUAAUAUUUACAACGUAAAGAAGUAAUUGGAUUGUAAUCGAUAAUAAUUAAUAUCCGUAAGAACAGAAUUUAUUAUUCAUUAUGAUUAAAGAUUUUGCUUAUGGUUUUGGAGUUUAUGUUGACAGUUAAUAUUAAAAAAAAUUUAUUCUGCAAAAAA